UACAGAGGAUGCAAGCGUUAUCCGGAAUGAUUGGGCGUAAAGCGUCUGUAGGUGGCUUUUUAAGUCCGCCGUCAAAUCCCAGGGCUCAACUCUGGACAGGCGGUGGAAACUACCAAGCUGGAGUACGGUAGGGGCAGAGGGAAUUUCCAGUGGAGCGGUGAAAUGCGUAGAUAUUGGAAAGACCACCAAUGGCGAAGGCACUCUACUGGGCCAUUACUGACACUGAGAGACGAAAGCUAGGGGAGCGAAUGGG
rnacentral:rRNA from 1 species